CGGGUGAGUAACGCGUAUCCAACCUUCCGUACACUCAGGGAUAGCCUUUCGAAAGAAAGAUUAAUACCUGAUGGUAUGAUGAGAUUGCAUGAUAUCAUCAUUAAAGAUUCAUCGGUGUACGAUGGGGAUGCGUUCCAUUAGGUAGUAGGCGGGGUAACGGCCCACCUAGCCUACGAUGGAUAGGGGUUCUGAGAGGAAGGUCCCCCACAUUGGAACUGGGACACGGUCCAAACUCCUACGGGAGGCAGCAGUGAGGAAUAUUGGUCAAUGGACGAGAGUCUGAACCAGCCAAGUAGCGUGAAGGAUGAAGGUCCUACGGAUUGUAAACUUCUUUUAUAAGGGAAUAAAACCUCCCACGUGUGGGAGCUUGUAUGUAC
rnacentral:rRNA from 1 species